rnacentral:rRNA from 1 species
CCUACGGGAGGCAGCAGUAGGGAAUAUUGCUCAAUGGGGGAAACCCUGAAGCAGCCACGCCGCGUGGAGGAUGAAGGUUUUCGGAUUGUAAACUCCUUUUGUUAGAGAAGCUAAUUACGGUAUCUAACGAAUAAGCACCGGCUAACUACGUAACAGCAGCCGCGGUAAUACGGAGGGUGCAAGCGUUACUCGGAAGUACUGGGCGUAAAGAGCGCGUAGGCGGGAUAGCAAGUCAGAUGGGAAAUCCUAGGGCUUAACCAUAGAACUGCAUUUGAAACUGUUAUUCUAGAGUAUGGGAGAGGUAGGUGGAAUGCUGGGGGUAGGGGUAAAAUCCGUAGAGAUCAAGAGGAAUACUCAUUGCGAAGGCGACCUGCCAGAGCAUAACUGACGCUGAUGCGCGAAAGCGUGGGGAGCAAACAGGAUUAGAUACCCGGGUAGUC